UACUCGAGUGGCGAACGGGUGAGUAACACGUGGGUGAUCUGCCCUGCACUUCGGGAUAAGCUUGGGAAACUGGGUCUAAUACCGGAUAGGAGCCAUCUUUAGUGUGGUGGUUGGAAAGUUUUUUCGGUGUAGGAUGAGCUCGCGGCCUAUCAGCUUGUUGGUGGGGUAAUGGCCUACCAAGGCGGCGACGGGUAGCCGGCCUGAGAGGGUGUACGGCCACAUUGGGACUGAGAUACGGCCAG
rnacentral:rRNA from 1 species